UGAAAUAGCUCAGUGGUAGAGCAAUCGCCUCGUAAGCGAUAGGUCGACAGUUCAAAUCUGUCUUUCAGC
rnacentral:tRNA from 1 species